CUCUGAUGGAAAGUUCAGUAGUUUAAGUGAUUUGAACCAGUUUUUAGAAUUUUUAGGUACUUAAAAUACAAAGUUCAUCAGUUCAGUAUUCAUGAUGCAAAACGUUGGCCUCAGAGUUUUCUGUAGUAACAUUUAGUAAAAGAAAACAAAAGAAUAUUGUCAACAUAGCUCUAAAGUAAAUAAGAUCAAAAAAGCCAGAGAAGACAGAAACCAUUAAAAUGACAGCUAGUAGAAAUAAGAAGACACCUGG